rnacentral:rRNA from 1 species
GAGUAGCGAGAUAGAGGUGGGAAUCCUCUAGGCUGAAUAUCCAAGGUUUCCAGAGUAAAGCUGAUCUGCUCUGGGUAAGUCGGGGCCUAAGGCGAGGACGAGAGUCGUAGCCGAUGGACAACAGGUGGAGAUUCCUGUACUGCGGUAUGACAGAACUGUGGGGACACGUAAGGAAAGCGGAAGCCGGGAAUGGAGAGCCCGGUGCAAGCGGGGUACCAGCCACUCUGGCAAAUCCGGGUGGCAAUGGGAAGCCGUGAUGCGGAGUGAAAUAAAGUAACGAAGUCCGUGAGCCAUGCGUCAAGAAAAGCCGCUAUUGUUUAUACCGUACCCGUACCGUAAACCGACACAGGUGGAUGAGGAGAGAAUCCUAAGGCCGGCGGAAGAAGCAUUGUCAAGGAACUCGGCAAAAUGGCCCCGUAACUUAGGGAUAAGGGGUGCCUCAGAAAUGAGGCCGCAGAGAAUAGGCUCAAGCAACUGUUUAGCAAAAACACAGGUCUAUGCGAAACCGAAAGGUGAGGUAUAUGGGCUGACGCCUGCCCGGUGCUGGAAGGUUAAGAGGAGAGGUUAGCGCAAGCGAAGCUUUGAAUUUAAGCCCCAGUAAACGGCGGCCGUAACUAUAACGGUCCUAAGGUAGCGAAAUUCCUUGUCGGGUAAGUUCCGACCCGCACGAAAGGCGUAAUGAUUUGAGCGCUGUCUCGACAAUGCAUCCGGUGAAAUUGAAGUACCAGUGAAGAUGCUGGUUACCUGCGCCAGGACGGAAAGACCCCAUGGAGCUUUACUCCAGUUUGGUACUGGGACUCGGUAUUGCAUGUACAGGAUAGGUGGGAGGCUAGGAGAUAGUAACGCCAGUUAUUAUGGAGCCGCUGUUGGGAUACCACCCUUGCAGUAUUGGGUUUCUAACCAGCCGCCGUGACCCGGCGGUGGGACAAUGCCAGACGGGGAGUUUGACUGGGGCGGUCGCCUCCGAAAGGGUAUCGGAGGCGCCCAAAGGUUCCCUCAGAAUGGACGGAAACCAUUCGAAGAGUGCAAAGGCAGAAGGGAGCUUGACUGCGACACCGACGGGUGGAGCAGGUACGAAAGUAGGGCUUAGUGAUCCGGUGGUAUUAAGUGGGAAUGCCAUCGCUCAACGGAUAAAAGCUACCCUGGGAUAACAGGCUUAUCACUCCCAAGAGUUCACAUCGACGGAGUGGUUUGGCACCUCGAUGUCGGCUCAUCGCAUCCUGGGGCUGUAGUAGGUCCCAAGGGUUGGGCUGUUCGCCCAUUAAAGCGGUACGCGAGCUGGGUUCAGAACGUCGUGAGACAGUUCGGUCCCUAUCCGGCGUGGGCGUAGGAUAUCUGAGAGGAGCUGUCCUUAGUACGAGAGGACCGGGAUGGACGGGCCGCUGGUGCAUCGGUUAGACUGCCAAGUCUACGGCCGAGUAGCCAAGCCCGGAAGGGAUAAACGCUGAAGGCAUCUAAGCGUGAAGCCCCCCUUAAGAUGAGAUAUCCCAUUCGAAAGAAGUAAACCCCCUUGAAGACGACGAGGUAGAUAGGGCAGAGGUGGAAGUGCAGUAAUGCAUGGAGCUGACUGUUACUAAUCGGGUGAGGGCUUGACCG